AUUGAACGCUGGCGGCAUGCUUUACACAUGCAAGUCGAACGGCAGCGCGGGCUUCGGCCUGGCGGCGAGUGGCGAACGGGUGAGUAAUACAUCGGAACGUGCCCGGUAGUGGGGGAUAGCUCGGCGAAAGCCGGAUUAAUACCGCAUACGACCUGAGGGUGAAAGCGGGGGAUCUUCGGACCUCGCGCUAUUGGAGCGGCCGAUGGCAGAUUAGCUAGUUGGUGGGGUAAAGGCCUACCAAGGCGACGAUCUGUAGCUGGUCUGAGAGGACGACCAGCCACACUGGGACUGAGACACGGCCCAGACUCCUACGGGAGGCAGCAGUGGGGAAUUUUGGACAAUGGGCGAAAGCCUGAUCCAGCGAUGCCGCGUGUGUGAUGAAGGCCUUCGGGUUGUAAAGCACUUUUGGCGGGAACGAAAAGGACUGUGCCAAUACCACGGUUCGAUGACGGUACCCGCAGAAUAAGCACCGGCUAACUACGUG
rnacentral:rRNA from 1 species